CACACGACCGUACCGCAAACCGACACUGGUGCGCGAGAUGAGUAUUCUAAGGCGCUUGAGAGAACUCAGGAGAAGGAACUCGGCAAAUUGACACCGUAACUUCGGAAGAAGGUGUGCCUUUAGUAGGUGAACCUGUACAAGGGGAGCCCAAUGAGGUUGCAAAAAAUCGGUGGCUGCGACUGUUUAAUAAAAACACAGCACUCUGCAAACACGAAAGUGGACGUAUAGGGUGUGACGCCUGCCCGGUGCUGGAAGAUUAAAUGAUGGGGUGCAAGCUCUUGAUUGAAGUCCCAGUAAACGGCGGCCGUAACGAUAACGGUCCUAAGGUAGCGAAAUUCCUUGUCGGGUAAGCUCCGACCUGCACGAAUGGCGUAACGAUGGCCACACUGUCUCCUCCUGAGACUCAGCGAAGUUGAAAUGUUUGUGAUGAUGCAAUCUCCCCGCGGAAAGACGGAAAGACCCCAUGAACCUUUACUGUAGCUUUGUAUUGGACUUUGAACAGAUCUGUGUAGGAUAGGUGGGAGGCUUUGAAGUGUGGUCGCUAGAUCGCAUGGAGCCAACGUUGAAAUACCACCCUGGUGUGUUUGAGGUUCUAACCUAGGCCCGUAAUCCGGGUCGGGGACAGUGCAUGGUAGGCAGUUUGACUGGGGCGGUCUCCUCCCAAAGCGUAACGGAGGAGUUCGAAGGUACGCUAGGUACGGUCGGACAUCGUGCUAAUAGUGCAAUGGCAUAAGCGUGCUUAACUGCGAGACUGACAAGUCGAGCAGAUGCGAAAGCAGGACAUAGUGAUCCGGUGGUUCUGUAUGGAAGGGCCAUCGCUCAACGGAUAAAAGGUACUCUGGGGAUAACAGGCUGAUACCGCCCAAGAGUUCAUAUCGACGGCGGUGUUUGGCACCUCGAUGUCGGCUCAUCUCAUCCUGGGGCUGUAGCCGGUCCCAAGGGUAUGGCUGUUCGCCAUUUAAAGAGGUACGUGAGCUGGGUUUAAAACGUCGUGAGACAGUUUGGUCCCUAUCUUCCGUGGGCGCUGCAGAUUUGAGGAAGCCUGCUCCUAGUACGAGAGGACCGGAGUGGACACACCUCUGGUGUAUCGGUUGUCACGCCAGUGGCAUUGCCGAGUAGCUAUGUGUGGAAGAGAUAACCGCUGAAAGCAUCUAAGCGGGAAACUCGUUUCAAGAUGAGAUCUGCCGGGGCCUUGAGCCCCCUAAAGAGUCGUUCAAGACCAGGACGUUGAUAGGUCGGGUGUGGAAGCGCAGUAAUGCGUUAAGCUAACCGAUACUAAUUGCUCGUGCGGCUUGACCCU
rnacentral:rRNA from 1 species